GGAGGACCCCAUCAACGCCUGAAGCCUCAGCCUGGAGGCAUCAUGUACCACUUCCGCUCACAUCAGUGCCCUGGAAAGUGAGCACCAACAGACUGGGAAGAAUGUAAAAGGAAGUAGCCAGCACAGAGGAGUCUGCAGACCGGCUCACAGAGGUGAUGGAAAUGGCAUAUUUAGCCAGAGAAGAGAAGGGAGAUGGUGUGCGUUAUCUCUUUAAAAGAAAAGAAGAGGAGGGAGUUUUGUUCCCAGAGCAACAUUAUUUGGCUGCAAGACAGAAGUGUGCCCGGCGGGCUAUGUGCGUCCUGGCAGCAGCCGGGAUGGGGGCAGUGCCAAGAUGCUGGAGUCGGGACACCCACG